rnacentral:rRNA from 1 species
ACCCGCUGAACUUAAGCAUAUCAAUAAGCGGAGGAAAAGAAACCAACAGGGAUUGCCCUAGUAACGGCGAGUGAAGCGGCAACAGCUCAAAUUUGAAAUCUGGCGUCUUUGGCGUCCGAGUUGUAAUUUGCAGAGGGCGCUUUGGCAUUGGCAGCGGUCCAAGUUCCUUGGAACAGGACGUCACAGAGGGUGAGAAUCCCGUACGUGGUCGCUAGCCUUUACCGUGUAAAGCCCCUUCGACGAGUCGAGUUGUUUGGGAAUGCAGCUCUAAAUGGGAGGUAAAUUUCUUCUAAAGCUAAAUACUGGCCAGAGACCGAUAGCGCACAAGUAGAGUGAUCGAAAGAUGAAAAGCACUUUGGAAAGAGAGUUAAAAAGCACGUGAAAUUGUUGAAAGGGAAGCGCUUGCAGCCAGACUUGCCUGUAGUUGCUCAUCCGGGUUUUUACCCGGUGCACUCUUCUAUAGGCAGGCCAGCAUCAGUUUGGGCGGUUGGAUAAAGGUCUCUGUCAUGUACCUCUCUUCGGGGAGAACUUAUAGGGGAGACGACAUGCAACCAGCCUGGACUGAGGUCCGCGCAUCUGCUAGGAUGCUGGCGUAAUGGCUGU